rnacentral:rRNA from 1 species
CAUUGGGGCUGAGACACGGCCCAAACUCCUACGGGAGGCAGCAGUGGGGAAUAUUGGACAAUGGGCGCAAGCCUGAUCCAGCCAUGCCGCGUGAGUGAUGACGGCCUUAGGGUUGUAAAGCUCUUUCGCUAGGGACGAUAAUGACGGUACCUAGACAAGAAGCCCCGGCUAACUUCGUGCCAGCAGCCGCGGUAAUACGAAGGGGGCUAGCGUUGUUCGGAAUUACUGGGCGUAAAGCGCGUGUAGGCGGGCGUUUAAGUCAGGGGUGAAAUGCCAGGGCUCAACCUUGGAACUGCCUUUGAUACUGAAUGUCUUGAGUCCGGGAGAGGUGAGUGGAACUGCGAGUGUAGAGGUGAAAUUCGUAGAUAUUCGCAAGAACACCAGUGGCGAAGGCGGCUCACUGGCCCGGAACUGACGCUGAGACGCGAAAGCGUGGGGAGCAAACAGGAUUAGAUACCCUGGUAGUCCACGCUGUAAACGAUGGAUGCUAGCCGUUGGGGAGCUUGCUCUUCAGUGGCGCAGCUAACGCUUUAAGCAUCCCGCCUGGGGAGUACGGUCGCAAGAUUAAAACUCAAAGGAAUGACGG